rnacentral:lncRNA from 1 species
ACCUCCCGGGUGGACGUUUGCAGGCGCUCGCUGGGGGCCCACUGAAAGGAGAAUCGGAAGCUGAAAUAAAUGUUGGGGAGGUGUGACGUUGAGAGAGCAGGUAGCAGAGAGACGAGAGGGAAGGAUACCAUGAGGAAGACAUCUUUACUUCUAACCAAGCAUGAUGGGGGACAGACUGUUGAGAAUGCGAAGUGAAUUCUACGGACUUGAUUCCCACUCUGUCCCUUCUGUGCUCUGUCAGCAAGUAGAGAUAUGGAACUCCUGGAAUUUGACACGUUGAUUCAUGUGUUCAGCUACUGCAACUCACUAGGAGCCCCGAGAAAGACAGAAAACCUUCCCUCCAGGGGUCCUGGCCGGGAGCAAAUGGAUCCCCCCUCCCCCUCCUGUAUCUGAAGAGGGCUUCCCUCGGAGAGUUUAUGGCAGCCUGACCUCCAGCCUCUGGGUUGGAGAAUCUGGCCGCUUCUGUACUACAUAAAAAGGGCA